GACGUAGGGCGCGAGCGUUGUCCGGAUUUAUUGGGCGUAAAGAGCUCGUAGGCGGCUUGUCGCGUCGACCGUGAAAAACUUGGGGGCUCAACCCCCAAGCCUGCGGUCGAUACGGGCAGGCUCGAGUUUCGGUAGGGGAGACUGGAAUUCCUGGUGUAGCGGUGAAAUGCGCAGAUAUCAGGAGGAACACCGAUGGCGAAGGCAGGUCUCUGGGGCCGAUACUGACGCUGAGGAGCGAAAAGCGUGGGGGAGCGAACAGG
rnacentral:rRNA from 1 species